AACGAACGCUGGCGGUAGGUCUAACACAUGCAAGUCGAGCGAUACCUGCCAGACUAGCGGCGAACGAGCGAGCAAUGUGUGGGAACGCGCCCUUUUCUCCGCAACAGCCGCGCGAAACUGAGCGUAAUACCGCAUACGCCCGUCUGGGGAACGAUUUAUCGGUAUAGGAUCGGCCCGCGUUGGACUAGGUAGUUGGUGGGGUAAUGGCCUACCAAGCCUACGCUCCCUAGCUGGUUUGAGAGGAUGAUCACCCACACUGGGACUGAGACACGGCCCAGACUCCUACGGGAGGCAGCGGUGGGGAGUCGUAGACACUGCGGGCAACCCUGAUCUAGCCAUGCCGCGUGAGUGAUGAAGGCCUUAGGGUUGUAAACCUCUUUCAGCUGGGAAGCUAAUGGCGGUACCAGCAGAAGAAGCCCCGGCUAACUCCGUG
rnacentral:rRNA from 1 species